UGGGGAAUAUUGCACAAUGGAGGGAACUCUGAUGCAGCGACGCCGCGUGAGUGAUGAAGGACUUCGUUUCGUAAAACUCUGUUCUAUGGGAAGAAAAGGACUGUACCAUAGGAGAAAGCUCCGGCUAAAUACGUGCCAGCAGCCGCGGUAAUACGUAUGGAGCGAGCGUUGUCCGGAAUUAUUGGGCGUAAAGGGUGCGCAGGCGGCUUUACAAGUUGGAUGUGAAAUAUUGUGGCUCAACCACAAACGUGCAUCCAAAACUGCAAAGCUUGAGUUAAGGAGGGGUAAGUGGAAUUCCUGGUGUAGCGGUGGAAUGCGUAGAUAUCAGGAGGAAUACCGGUGGCGAAGGCGACUUACUGGACUUAAACUGACGCUCAGGCACGAAAGCGUGGGGAGCAAACAGG
rnacentral:rRNA from 1 species